GCAUGCGCGGGGCGAGCCGGCUGGAGCGGAAGGGGUGAGCGGGCUGCGAGCCGCCAUGGGAGCACGGGAGUGAGCGGCCCGUGUGUGCAUCCUUCUGCUCUUCGUCUUCUUCCUGCCGUCUGCCCCUCGGCACCGCACGGAGAAGGGGCACAAGAGCCCGCCCCCGGCCAGGGCAGCAGCAUGUUCCGGUUGAUGAGGGACGGCGAGCCCGAGGAUCCCAUGUUCGCUAUGGACCCUUUUGCUAUCCACCGGCAGCACAUGAACCGCAUGCUUUCUGGAAGCUUUGGCUUUGGCCCGUUGCUUGGUAUCACUGAUGGGACCACGCCUGGGGCUCGCCAGGCUGGCCGUAGGAUGCAGGCGGGAGCUGUUUCACCCUUUGGGAUGCUGGGCAUGGCAGGUGGCUUUAUAGACAUGUUUGGCAUGAUGAACGACAUGAUUGGGAACAUGGAGCACAUGACAAGUGGUGCAAACUGUCAGACAUUUACCUCUUCAACUGUCAUCUCCUAUUCCAACAUGGGUGAUGGGCCCAAAGUCUAUCAGGAGACCUCAGAGAUGCGCUCAGCACCUGGUGGGAUCCGUGAGACUAGGAGGACCGUGAGGGACUCAGACAGUGGCUUGGAACAAAUGUCUAUUGGACACCAUAUCAGGGAGAGAGCGCACAUCAUGCAGCGAUCCCGGAACCAUCGUACAGGUGACCAAGAAGAAAGGCAGGACUACAUCAAUAUGGAUGAAAGUGAUGCAGCUGCGUUUGAUGAUGAGUGGAGGCGAGAGACAUCCCGCUUCCGGCCUCAGCGAGGGCUGGAAUACCGGCGUCAUGAAGGCGGCAGCAGCCGCCGGGCUGAAGGGACUCGUCUUGCAAUCCAGGGCCCUGAGGAUUCUCCCUCCAGACAGUCCCGUCGAUAUGACUGGUGAAUGCAGAGCAGACCUUGUGGGGGGUGCAACGUGGUCACCCCCAAAUCUACCUACACGCUCCUGUACAGACAGUGAAACUCUGAAGCUCCUUCAAAGCACCACUCGGACCCUUCUCAAAUUUAGUAUUAACCUCCCUGCCACUUAAGAAUUGAAACAAAACAACUAAUCUUCUGCAUUGCCUUUUUUUAUUAUUUUCUGCCCCAUUUUGGGUGCUGCAGUGGUUCAUGGAGAAUCUCACUAAUGUGCAAGGAACACAUUAAUCGCCCGUUCCCUUUCUGCUCUCCUUUGGUUCUGUUCUUUCUGCCACUAGUGGUGGGCAUGAGGAGCUGCCGCCUUUGCUGCUUCUGUCUUUUCCACUCUUACUGUGGUGGGUUGGGCUGGUUAUGAAGUUUGUGUUUAGUCCCCUGUGAAAGAGAUGAGGGAAUCCUGCUAGACCCCUGUGUUAGUCCCCUCACCGGGACAAAGGCUUCUAUUCCCCUCCUGAAUUCUUGGUACAGCUAUGGAGUAGCUGAAGGGUGUGUUUGAGAGAGGUGAGGAGCAGAACGAAAGCUGGACAGCUUGUGCCCUCCCCUCCAUCUCUUGGGUUGGCUCCUCCACUUUUUUAAUUUGUGAAACUUGUAACUAGAUGUUUACUGAAUAAAGAAACAAACUGUAAAGAA